AGUGGUUAAGAGUUUGGUUGCUAACCAAAACAUUGGUAGUUCAAAUCCACCAGCCACUC
rnacentral:tRNA from 1 species